rnacentral:rRNA from 1 species
GAUGAACGCUGGCGGCGUGCCUAAGGUAUGCAAGUCGAACGGGAAUUAUUGAGAGCUUGCUCUUGAUAAUUUUAGUGGCAGACGGCUGAGUAAUACAUAAGAACUUACUCCUAACUUGUGGAUACCCUCGCGAAAGUGAGGUUAAUACACAAUGGACUCUUGUUCGUAGUGGACGUAGAGUAAAACUCCGGUGGUUAGGG